AUUUUUUAACACUGGUUUUGAUAUUUUUAACAUUGUAUUUUAAUAUUUUUGAUUAAAAAAAACAAAAACAUAAUUUUGUUCUGUAAAAACUGAAAUCAUGAGAUGUUAUGUAUGAUGAGAUAUUAACAGUCACUUCAACUUGGUCUUAUAUAAAGCUGUUAGAGUGCCAAACCCUGUCGUUCUUGGUCAAAAAACAGUAUUUACAAACACAUCCAUUAUAUUUAUCUAACAGGCAAUGAUGUUGAGAUUGCACUUUACUGAGGCACAUCAUAUACAUUUGGGAACAGACAUCAAAAAAUCGUGAGCAGCACGAACAGUCCGUAGAGCAGCGCACAAGGGUAUGCCACGAGGAACUGCUGUCCUUCCAUAGCCAACGUGGUGAUGAAUAUUUUUGAAGCUGAGAAACUGCACCAUCCAAUAACAGCAGCUGCCAAUACUGUCCCAACAAUUCCUC